rnacentral:RNase_P_RNA from 1 species
AGACAAAUGCUGCAUAAUUUAUUAUGUUGAGGAAAGUCCAUGCUCACACUGUCCUGAAAUGGCAGUAGUGUUCGUGCUAGAGGAAUAAAUAACUCUAGGUAGCUUUUAGCUAACGGCAUUGAAUAUAGCCCAUGUUGGUUAUUAGUAGAUUUAAAGUGCCACAGUGACGAAUUAUCUAAGUAAUUAGGUAAGUGAAACGAGGUAAACCCCGCGAGUGAGAAAUCCAAAUUUUGGUAGGAGAGUCUCUUAAAAGGAAUAACAACUGAUAAGAGGAGUCAUUUUGACUAGAUAAAUAUUUGUCCUUAUUUUAUAAGACAGAACAUGGCUUACU